AGUCUCGUCCAGAUCAUCAUGGCAUUUUUAGUUCUUUAUGAUAGCCACAUUAGCAGCUAAUUAGCAUUUCAUUUUUAGGAGAUGAAUGCAGGCGAAUAUAUUGAUACAGUGCUUUCGGAAAGUAUUCAGACAGCUUGACUUUUACCACAAUUUUUAAUGUUAAUAGUCUUAUUCUAAAAUGGUUUAAAUUAAAAAUUAAAAAAUCUCAGCAAUCUACACACAAUAACCCAUAAUGGCAAAGUGGAACCGGGUUCUUAGACAUUUUUGCAAGUGACCCUGUCCUAGAGGGAUAAACAUGAGGGAGGGAUAAACACGGUUCUCAAAACAUCACGCCAGGGUUACCUUCAGACAAGUCCCGCAAAACAAUGAACACCUUCAUUUUGGUGAGAAGACCGAUUUUCGGAAUGUUCUAAUAACUGCUGUAGCUCGGUCACUUUCCACCACAGGUGCGGAAGGCCGACCUAGGCGGAUGCGGUGGACCAUAUAGCUCUUAGUUAAACGAACUGAUUUUGAUGGAGAUUUUAUUAUGCUACUUGGAUUGAAGAACGGGUUUGAAAGCCCGAGCUGACUAGGUGAAAUACAUCUGUUCCCUUGAGCAAGGCACUUAACCCCAGUCACUAAACCAAGUUUACUAAUUUACUAAAAUGUAUAGUUGUAUUUCAAUAGCCACAACCAUAGAAGCCAUCAGUCCCGAGAAACCAUCAGCAUCGCCACACUGGAAAUGUUUUCUCUUAAUCAAUUUUUACUGCCCUCCCGAGUUGCCAAAUCUCCACUUCACUUUGCGCGUCAAUUCAUGCACCUGGUUGGAGUGAACGCUUCGAAAAUGUUACGUGUUUGGAGUGCAAUCGGAACACGUUUAGUAAAGGGCGUGGAAGCUACUGAAGAAAGUGAGAUAAUUGAAAAAGGUUAUUGUCCAGCUGAAAAGCACAUUAAUCUCCUAGUGUCUGGUGGAAAGCAGACUGAACAA